ACACACGUGUUAAUGCUUGCUGCAUCAGAGCCUAAGUGUUCAACAGCUUUAUAGAAUAUGUACACUAUACUGGGAUGACAACUACAACACUCGAAGUGUCUCACCAGAUGUCAUUUCCAGCAUGUGGGAACUAAUGCCAGAGGACUCCAAUGAUACUGCCAGUGACUCUAAUGAUGCUGCUAGCAACUCAUUUUUGUUGGAUGACAAUUCCAGCAUUCCUUUCUCAGUUGAUGACAUUUCUAGUGCUAUUCAUGAGAAGGAUUUCUCAGAUGUAAAACCUGCUGCUCAACUUCUGGAGAAUCAAGCCUUCCAAUUUUUACAGGAUUAAAGGCCGUGGUUCUUUCAUUCUUUUUUCUAGCCUGCAAUGGCCACCACAUAAGAUGGUUACUGGUGUUCUUCCUGCCAGUGCCACAAUGUAGAUCCACCACCAUUUUUUGGUCAACACAGGUUUCUCCACUUGGCAACAUCCAUUGCCCUGGAUGUAAAAUUAUGCUCUUUUUUUUUUUUUUUUUUUUUGUUGUUGUUGUUCUAAAAAAAAAAUUAGGGUUGUAAAAUUCAAUUAGGCUGAUUCAAAUAGUUUAAAAGGGGCAGGGAUGCGGUUUAAUCUUUUGCAUUUUCUUUAUAUUUGAUGGGACAAUGGGAGUGAACAUUCUUUGUAGGACUGGUAGGAGGCGUAUUUUUAAAUGUAGUGUGGUGGAAGGAGUUGCCCUUAAGAUCGCACUUCUCCAGCCCAGUGGGGAGCUGCUCUUAAAGAGAACUUUCUCCGGCACCCCAGAUUUUCAUUUUGUACAAAGCUGACAGAAUGUGGCAAGAUAUUUAUUGUAGUUCAACCUUUUGAUUAAACUGGUUUCAUUACAUCCCUUGUAG